rnacentral:rRNA from 1 species
GACGAACGCUGGCGGCGUGCUUAACACAUGCAAGUCGAACGGAAAGGCCCUGCUUUUGUGGGGUGCUCGAGUGGCGAACGGGUGAGUAACACGUGAGUAACCUGCCCUUGACUUUGGGAUAACUUCAGGAAACUGGGGCUAAUACCGGAUAGGAGCUCCUGCUGCAUGGUGGGGGUUGGAAAGUUUCGGCGGUUGGGGUUGGACUCCCGGCUUUUCAGCUUGUUGGUGGGGUAGCGGAUUACCAAGGCUUUGACGGGUAGCCGGACUGGGAGGGUGGCCGGUCACGUUGGGGCUGGCAUGCGGCCCAGACUCCUCCGGGAGGCAGCAGUGGGGUAUUUUGCGCAAUGGGCGGAAGCCUGUUGCAGCCGCGCUGCGUUCGGGGUGGCGGCCUUUGUGUUGUAACCCGCUUCCGCCUGUGACGAAGCGUGAGUGACGGUACUGGGUAACGAAGCACCGGCUAACUACGUG